GUGCCUUCUGGACAGCAGGGAAAAAGGACAAGGAUGCUGAACCACAACUGUUUCGGGGAAGAAGAAGGAACACUCACUCCACUGAAAUUGCCAAAGUCCAGGAGUUCCUGACUAGAAAGGAAAUUAAGAACUGAUCCUGGUGAAGAAACAAAGAAUUAUACACUGGCAGGAAGAAAUUUGUGGGACCCAUGCUUG